GCUGACAUUAAAGAGAUUUUGGAGCAUGCUUUUUCACCCACAAAAUGCCAACUUUUUAUGGGAGACAGAAUACUUGGUCAACCCAAUGAAAUUCAUGUAUAUCAUUGAUCAUUUUCCAAAGCCAUAUCCGUGGUUCACUACAAUAUUUGGUAGCAGGAAAGACCUUCCAGAAGGGGAACUGACAUUUGCAUUGGAAAUGUAUUUCCUACAAAAGCCUUCUAACUCCAGAGAUUUAAUCGUGCCUCUAUGUCUGAAAGCGGAGUAGCAGUGAAUAACUGUAGUUGGGUAUGAACUGAGAUGUUGGGAGCGUCGACUGUUGAGGUGUGACUUGUCGUGGAUCUUCUCUGCGUCUGUGAUGAACUGCUGACAAAGUGUGGAGUAAAAGCAUACAAGGAAGAUGUAGACUGAGAUGAUUUUGGCCGGAUGGUGAGACCGCGCAUUUAAGGAGAAGCAAAGAUUAGAUGAAGAUUAUGAAGCUGGGUAUAAUGGAAGUAUUUGUUGGUCUUUGACAGAGUGAGCUCGUUAGGGUGUUAUUCCGUCGGGAUGGAGCUUCGAUGGUGGCAAGGGUUUAAGUCUCCUUGUGUUACUGCUGGUCGACGUGGCUCCAGAGGGAAGAGAAGGUGAUGUGAGGGAACAAAAAAGGGCGUGUGUGCUCGCGUUGCGUUUUGGAGAAGGUCAUUUUGUGAUGUAUACCAUAGGAGUGAUGUUGAGUGUGAGGGCGAUGUGGUUUUGUGAGUGGAUCGGAGAGAUUUUUCUUUUUCCCAAAUUGUUUGUCUCGUGCGCUAAAGUUUCCCCUGCUCAUCCGCCAUGAACACUGUAAAGGAUGGC
rnacentral:misc_RNA from 1 species